rnacentral:rRNA from 1 species
ACGGGUGAGUAACGCGUGGGAAUCUACCGUGCCCUGCGGAAUAGCUCCGGGAAACUGGAAUUAAUACCGCAUACGCCCUACGGGGGAAAGAUUUAUCGGGGUAUGAUGAGCCCGCGUUGGAUUAGCUAGUUGGUGGGGUAAAGGCCUACCAAGGCGACGAUCCAUAGCUGGUCUGAGAGGAUGAUCAGCCACAUUGGGACUGAGACACGGCCCAAACUCCUACGGGAGGCAGCAGUGGGGAAUAUUGGACAAUGGGCGCAAGCCUGAUCCAGCCAUGCCGCGUGAGUGAUGAAGGCCUUAGGGUUGUAAAGCUCUUUCACCGGAGAAGAUAAUGACGGUAUCCGGAGAAGAAGCCCCGGCUAACUUCGUGCCAGCAGCCGCGGUAAUACGAAGGGGGCUAGCGUUGUUCGGAAUUACUGGGCGUAAAGCGCACGUAGGCGGAUAUUUAAGUCAGGGGUGAAAUCCCAGAGCUCAACUCUGGAACUGCCUUUGAUACUGGGUAUCUUGAGUAUGGAAGAGGUAGGUGGAAUUCCGAGUGUAGAGGUGAAAUUCGUAGA